UACGUAGGGGGCAAGCGUUGUCCGGAAUCAUUGGGCGUAAAGAGCGUGUAGGCGGCUUGUUAAGUCUUGCGUGAAAUCUCGGGGCUCAACCCCGAGCGGUCGUGAGAAACUGGCAGGCUAGAGUGCGGGAGAGGAGAGUGGAAUUCCUGGUGUAGCGGUGAAAUGCGCAGAUAUCAGGAAGAACACCCGUGGCGAAGGCGGCUCUCUGGACUGUAACUGACACUGAGGCACGAAAGCGUGGGGAGCAAACAGG
rnacentral:rRNA from 1 species